GUGGGGAAUAUUGGACAAUGGGCGAAAGCCUGAUCCAGCAAUGCCGCGUGAGUGAUGAAGGCCCUAGGGUUGUAAAGCUCUUUUACCCGGGAUGAUAAUGACAGUACCGGGAGAAUAAGCUCCGGCUAACUCCGUGCCAGCAGCCGCGGUAAUACGGAGGGAGCUAGCGUUGUUCGGAAUUACUGGGCGUAAAGCGCGCGUAGGCGGUUUUCCAAGUCAGGGGUGAAAGCCCGGGGCUCAACCCCGGAAUAGCCCUUGAAACUGGAAGACUAGAAUCUUGGAGAGGUCAGUGGAAUUCCGAGUGUAGAGGUGAAAUUCGUAGAUAUUCGGAAGAACACCAGUGGCGAAGGCGACUGACUGGACAAGUAUUGACGCUGAGGUGCGAAAGCGUGGGGAGCAAACAGGAUUAGAUACCCGGGUAGUCC
rnacentral:rRNA from 1 species